UACGGGGGGGGCAAGCGUUGUUCGGAAUUACUGGGCGUAAAGGGCUCGUAGGCGGCCAACUAAGUCGGACGUGAAAUCCCUCGGCUUAACCGGGGAACUGCGUCCGAUACUGGAUGGCUUGAGUGUGGGAGAGGGAUGCGGAAUUCCAGGUGUAGCGGUGAAAUGCGUAGAUAUCUGGAGGAACACCGGUGGCGAAGGCGGCAUCCUGGACCAACACUGACACUGAGGAGCGAAAGCCAGGGGAGCAAACGGG
rnacentral:rRNA from 1 species